rnacentral:lncRNA from 1 species
GCCACUGUACAUCAUUACAGACCUUUAAGCAAAAGAAAUCUAGUGGGAACGUGCAGGAUGGAUUCUUGAUAAAGAUGGGACCCAAGAAGAAGGGUGUAAGCAUCUCAGUGUCAUUCACUCAGCAUCUUUUUUUUUUUGCGGUACGCGGCUCUCUCACUGUUGUGGCCUCUCCCGUUGCAGAUCACAGGCUCCAGACGCGCAGGCUCAGCGGCCAUGGCUCAUGGGCCCAGCCGCUCCGCGGCAGGUGGGAUCUUCCCGGACCGGGGCACGAACCCACAUCCCCUGCAUCGGCAGGCGGACUCUCAACCACUGCACCACCAGGGAAGCCCCACUCAGCAUCUUUUUGA